rnacentral:rRNA from 1 species
UACGUAGGGGGCUAGCGUUGUCCGGAAUCAUUGGGCGUAAAGCGCGUGUAGGCGGUUCGGUAAGUCCGCUGUGAAAGUCGGGGGCUCAACCCUCGGAAGCCGGUGGAUACUGUCGAGCUAGAGUACGGAAGAGGCGAGUGGAAUUCCUGGUGUAGCGGUGAAAUGCGCAGAUAUCAGGAGGAACACCAAUGGCGAAGGCAGAUCUCUGGGCCGUAACUGACGCUGAGGAGCGAAAGCAUGGGGAGCGAACAGG